GUCAGCAUGGUGUAGUGGUUUGAGUGUUGGACCGUGACUCUGGAGAUCAGGGUUCAAUUCCCUGCUUGGCCA